GCAAGCUUGUGUGUUGUCACACUGUGGAGGUCACACAGCUUGAAUCUCAUAGGUCUCAGGUUGGUCAUCUUUCUGAUCUGGACCACCACUGGUGAUGGCUCACCAUUGAUAGCUAUGUCUCCUCUCUCUGUUUAUUCACUCUAGGUCAAGGGGGAGAGUUUGAGAGGUGGGAGGGACCUUAAAGAUGCCUCAUUUUACAGAGAAGUGUCAGCAGUUAUGUUUGAGUCCCCACCAUGACUGUUCUACCUCAUUCCUUGGUUGAUUUUGGGAAGUCAGUCUAUCUAAGCUUCAGUGUCCUCAGAGGGAAUAUUGCUUAGUUAACUACUAAAGAUUCUUGUAAGGAAAAUAUUGAAAACAAAGUGCUUUAGGAAUGGGAGUCAUUUGUAGUGCUACAGAUAAGAAAACUAAGGCCCAGUGUCUAAUCUGUCAUGUCUUCUCCUUUUGGACCAACAUCUUUACCACCUGAUGCAGCUAGACAAUUAUGGCCAGGUUAUCAAGAAAACUUAGUUGCACUCGACCCAUUUUCUUCCUCUGAAAAAUGGGAAUAAUAAUGCUCACAAGUGCUCACCUCACUGGUUGGAAGAAGGCUCAAGUGAUUUACAAAUACUAAAUGCUUUGUCGCAUAUUUGUAGUAGAAGAAGGAAUCAAACAAAGUUGGUGGCUGUCCAAGCCUCCAUCUUCCCUCUCAUUUUUCUUCAUUUCCUUUUUGUCAGCUUAUCUCUCCCCAUUAGGUUUUCUUUUUUCCUUUAUGUUUGGGAGAUUGAUUGAGAUUUAAACUUCCCCUUCCUCAUUUAUCAAACUACAAGAGCAGACUCCAGGGAGACAUGAUACUUGUCUUCACAUCUUUGAAGGGCUGUCUUUGUAGGAAAAAAAGGCUACGUUUCCCCGUCUCUCCCAGGCUAGAAGUGCAGAAGCCGAUCCUAUUGUUGCUCCACAUGGUCGUUUUGUCCCAUUCCUGGGGAAGGGGAGUAUCACCAUAUUGGUGUCAGACUUAGUAUGGAUGCACAAUCAGCUUUAGCCCUACUCUAUGUGGAACUCCCAAGCUUGGGCAAUCUACCCACCUCAGCCUCCUCUGGAGUCAAGUUUGCAUCACCAUGCUUGCCAAGAGGAAGGAUAAAAUGGGAAAUGUAGUUGAUGUUAAAAACAAAAGACAUAAGAAGAUGA